GCUACGGGAGGCUGCAGUGAGGAAUAUUGGUCAAUGGGCGCGAGCCUGAACCAGCCAAGUAGCGUGAAGGAUGACUGCCCUACGGGUUGUAAACUUCUGUUAUAAAGGAAUAAAGUGAGGCACGUGUGCCUUUUUGUAUGUACUUUAUGAAUAAGGAUCGGCUAACUCCGUGCCAGCAGCCGCGGUAAUACGGAGGAUCCGAGCGUUAUCCGGAUUUAUUGGGUUUAAAGGGAGAGUAGCUGGGUUGUUAAGUCAGUUGUGAAAGUUUGCGGCUCAAACGUAAAAUUGAAAUUGAUACUGGCAGCCUUGAGUACAGUUGAGGUAGGCGGAAUUCGUGGUGUAGCGGUGAAAUGCUUAGAUAUCACGAAGAACUCCGAUUGCGAAGGCAGCUUACUAAACUGCCACUGACAUUGAUGCUCGAAAGUGUGGGUAUCAAACAGGAUUAGAUACCCCUGUAGUC
rnacentral:rRNA from 1 species